GUGUGUGUGUGUAGAUAUAUACAUACAUACAUACAUACAUAUACAUAUAUAUAUAUAUAUAUAUACACACACACAC